GGGCCGAUGGUCCAGCUGGUUAAGACGCUGAUGAUUAAGCGGAACCUUGACGAUCUCUGGAUCAAAAUGGCAGAAAUCGCAGGUUCAAAUCCUGCUCGGCCCA
rfam:Candidatus Aenigmarchaeota archaeon CG1_02_38_14 cg1_0.2_scaffold_4514_c, whole genome shotgun sequence.